rnacentral:tRNA from 1 species
GCCUGGGUGGCUCAGUCGGUUAAGCGUCUGACUUCGGCUCAGGUCAUGAUCUAUGGUCCAUGAGUUCGAGCCCCGUGUCGGGCU